rnacentral:rRNA from 1 species
CAAUAGCGUAUAUUAAAGUUGUUGCAGUUAAAAAGCUCGUAGUUGGAUUUCUGAAUUGAAUAUCCGGUCCGCUCGUCUCUGAUGAGUGCGUACUUAUGGAUAUUGGAUUCAUUUUUUGUGAGGACAUUUAUCUGUCAUUAAGUUGAUGGAUUUAUAGACUUGCAUCGUUUACUGUGAAAAAAUUAGAGUGUUUAAAGCAGGCGUUCGCCCAUUUGAAUACAUUAGCAUGGAAUAAUAAGAUAUGACUUUGGUGGUCUAUUUUGUUGGUUUGCACACCAGAGUAAUGAUUAAUAGGGACAGUUGGGGGUAUUCAUAUUUCAACGUCGGAGGUGAAAUUCUUAGAUCGUUGAAAGAUGACCUUAGGCGAAAGCAUUUACCAUGGAUGUUUUCAUUAA